GUAUUAUAUGAAAGGAGAGGUUAGCACUCUCCUGGACAAGGAUGGAAGAGGCUCGUGAGCCUGACAAUAUGCAUACCAUUAAGGCAUUGCCACCUACUUUGUGGCAUGUAACCAUUCUUUAU
ensembl:snRNA